GACAGAGGGGGCAAGCGUUGCUCGGAAUCACUGGGCGUAAAGGGCGCGUAGGCGGGAUGGCAAGUCGGUCGUGAAAUCCUUCGGCUCAACCGAAGAACGUCGAUCGAUACUGCUGUUCUUGAGGAUUGCAGAGGAGACUGGAAUUCCCGGUGUAGCGGUGAAAUGUGUAGAGAUCGGGAGGAACACCGGUGGCGAAGGCGGCAUCCUGGACCGGCAUUGACGCUGAGGAGCGAAAGCCAGGGGAGCAAACGGG
rnacentral:rRNA from 1 species